GCGAUGAACCAGAUUCCCGCGCCGUGGGUAAAACCGCGGUGAGGAAAGUCCGGGCUCCACAGGGCAUGAUGCCGGGUAACUCCCGGGCGGCGGGGUAACCCUUCGCCGACAGACAGCGCAACAGAAAGCAAACCGCAAGGUGUUUUUCGGGUAACCGAAAAACACUAAGUAAGGGUGAAAGGGCGGUGUAAGAGACCACCGCGGCGGCGGUAACGCCGCCGGCACGGCAAGCCUCAUCAGGAGCAAAGUCAAGCAGCGCCGUGAAAAGGCGGAAGCCUUUUCGGCCAAAGCCCGUUGGUUUAGGCGCGGGUAGACUGCUCGGGACCUGGUCCCGGGAGGCCUUUUGUAAGAAAGGUUCAAGAUAGAUGGGAAUCGGCGGCUUAAAACCGUCACAGAACCCGGCUUAUGGUUCAUCGUUUUU
rnacentral:RNase_P_RNA from 1 species